GCCUGGGUGGCUCAGUCGGUUGAGCGUCCGACUUUGGCUCAGGUCACGAUCUCGCGGUCCGUGAGUUUGAGCCCCACGUCAGGCU
rnacentral:tRNA from 1 species